rnacentral:lncRNA from 1 species
UGUGACAGUUCAUUGGGGAAGGAAGUUCUUGGCUCAUCCAUCAUGUCAAGAUCAUGAUCAAUUGUUGUGGCGUUCUUGUUGAGGUCAACCGUCACUGUGGUCACUUCAUCUUCCUCCUCCUUGGCAACCUCCUUUGAUUCUUCUGCCUGUGGGGGAGAAAAGCUUUGUGGAAGCUUUUCUCUACUGAACAGCGCAUCGAAAGCCAUACGACCCUGUCAACAAAAAUGUGAAUUAGAAAAAUGAUGGAUGCUCAAAUAUUUAGAUAGAAGUGAUUUUGCAUAUUGUUGGUAGGCUACAACCUCUUCAGAAACUUCCUUCCAUGAAUCACUUGUGCUUCCACUGCUUCUAAAUUUGCGGUGGUUAGUGUCACCGGCUGAAGAGUUACUGCAGGAGGCUUGCUUUGCCUUGUCAUUAGCCUUAUCUUCUUUCUCAGGAACAUUUCCUGCCUCUACAUCGCUACUUGAAGGUGUGUUGGAGCCACAUGAAGAGCGAUCCUGCUUUUUCUUAUUCCUGAAUGCAUCACUAAUGUCAGCUCCUGUAGUAGGUGCAGCAUCGGUAUUCUGGACAGGAGAUAUCUUUAACUCAGUAUGGAGAGACAUGUCGCCUUUUCUAGUCCCAUCAGACUCUGAAGACACAGCAACUCUCAAAGCUUCAGACUGGCCUUGUUUCUGAGCCUCUUGGCAUCCCUUCUGUGCAUUUUCAACCGGGGAAUCUCUGUCUUUGUCUAAAG